rnacentral:tRNA from 1 species
GCGAGCUGCGCUCUCGCAGGUCGGCACAGGGCUUAGCCCGCAAGUGCUCAUAAUCCCUGGGUCGUGGGUUCGAGCCCCACCCGCCCCA